UCAGCCAUCAGCCACCAACCGUCAACCGCCAACCGCCAACCGCCCGUCGACCAAAGGUGCUUGACAGUUCGCGUCUUCCUUCCUUCCGCCUACACAAUCAUCCAACCGAUUAAUCAUUCUCCUUGUUGACAAAUACAUCUCACCCCGUCCAUCUCGUUUACCAAUCUUAAUUAAUACCCGAAGCAUAUUUGGUAAACCUCCGACUCCAUUUUUACCUCAAGUCAAUUUGUAAAUUUGAAAUCUAUACAAUUUACUGUUCGUUAACCAUUAACAAGCCUCACUUGCUCCAACUAAGACGCCACGCUUACACAACUAUCAUUGCUCUGACAGACAUGUCCAAUGACUUCUCAUUAGCCUUUCAAUCUUUAGUUUUUCUACAGUUACAGUUCUGUGAAACUUUAUCGUAUGCAGACUGCUUUCCCUCUCUUUCUGUUUUUCAAAUGCACAAAACUUUGGUUAUCGGUAAGCAUAUGAAUUAUUUGUUUCUGAAUAUAAAGUUGACAAGGUUAAUGACACCGGGAAAUAGUGAGAGUGAAAAGACGAUUAUAGUGAUGAAUAUUAACUUGAAAGUUACGACGAAUAUUUGUUCAACCUGAGAACUGCGUGUUAUUCACUCAUGGAUUUUCGGAAUAAAUACUGAGAGGAGCCGAGAUACACUUUUAUUAUCGAUGAAACGAAGCUAGAGCACAGGAAAACAUGAGCAUAUUGUUAUUUUGCUUGAACAAUGACGAAAAUUUACAUACACGACUGACGGUGAAGAGAGCGUCUUCGGCUUUCUUUUCUAUGGUGUAAAAAUAGCCCGACAACUGUGGAAAGGGAAGCGGGUGGAUAGUUGUAUACGGACAAAUAUAACUCCGACGAGUUAUUCUGGAGCUGGGAUCCUCUUAAUUAGAACAAUUAACCGAGUCCGAGAAUAAAGUGGUAUGACGCAUACUUAGCUUGGUCAGGCGUACGAAUUGUGUUUUAUUAUUACGUUGCAACGUUACUACUGCAUAAUUCGGCUCCCUCAUUGCAGUUAACAAUCCUCAUGGCUUGUAAGUUUUUUUUCUCUGAGAUAUUCGACCAUCUUCUUUGCACUCUGUUAUUUGAUAAACCUGCAGAAGUAUUUUCUCAGGAUUAUUCUCCAGUGAUACAUUCUAUUUUCAUUAAGUAGAAUUAUUCUCUUUCCUUUUCACCAUCUGGAGUGAAAACUUAAAAAUUCGUAGAUAUACCACUCAGGGACAGAAAAAAAUUCAUUGCCCAAAAUCCGGUAUUCACAUUAUAGAUUCCAUUAAUGAUAAACAUAUGCUCUGGAGA